GGCUUCGUAGCUCAGCUGGUAGAGCACUUGUCACCUUGAAGUGUGGUGUGUCUGUCGCUGGUUUGAAUCCAGCCGAAGCCC
rnacentral:tRNA from 1 species